CAUUUUUGCCAAUACAGCGAAAAUUCGCCUUAGAUACAGUGGGACCCUUUUACCAUGGCCUCCCUUAAAGUGAAGAUUUAAUACGACCACAGUCAUCAGACACGACAUGGAUACCAGCAACAUUGCACAGGUCCACGAUCUGUCGCAAAGCUAGUCCGAGCCGGACCUGGACUGUUGAUUCUGAAUCACAAACUGGCCUGACGUCGUUAUGGUAAUUUUGGAACAAGUUGUCUACUAGUGUUGAGAGAUUUGAUGCUUCUGAAAAUUCUACCAUACCAGACGAAAGUGAAUUUUUCUUGCAAAACAUUUUUGAUACCACAAUUAUAUAUUUGGAUUUUACUAGUUUCUGUCUAUUUUUUGUUAAGAUUUAAAUAAACUAUAGAUGGCAA